rnacentral:rRNA from 1 species
CCUACGGGAGGCAGCAGUGGGGAAUAUUGCACAAUGGGCGCAAGCCUGAUGCAGCCAUGCCGCGUGUGUGAAGAAGGCCUUCGGGUUGUAAAGCACUUUCAGCGGGGAGGAAGGCGGUGAGGUUAAUAACCUCAUCGAUUGACGUUACCCGCAGAAGAAGCACCGGCUAACUCCGUGCCAGCAGCCGCGGUAAUACGGAGGGUGCAAGCGUUAAUCGGAAUUACUGGGCGUAAAGCGCACGCAGGCGGUCUGUCAAGUCGGAUGUGAAAUCCCCGGGCUCAACCUGGGAACUGCAUUCGAAACUGGCAGGCUAGAGUCUUGUAGAGGGGGGUAGAAUUCCAGGUGUAGCGGUGAAAUGCGUAGAGAUCUGGAGGAAUACCGGGGGCGAAGGCGGCCCCCUGGACAAAGACUGACGCUCAGGUGCGAAAGCGUGGGGAGCAAACAGGAUUAGAUACCCCGGUAGUC